rnacentral:rRNA from 1 species
CCUAUGGGAGGCAGCAGUGGGGAAUUGUUCGCAAUGGGCGCAAGCCUGACGACGCAACGCCGCGUGGAGGAUGAAGGUCUUCGGAUUGUAAACUCCUGUUGCCCGGGACGAAAAGCUUCGACCUAAUACGUCGAAGUCUGACGGUACCGGGUGAGGAAGCCCCGGCUAACUCUGUGCCAGCAGCCGCGGUAAUACAGAGGGGGCAAGCGUUGUUCGGAAUUACUGGGCGUAAAGGGCGCGUAGGCGGCCUUCUAAGUCAUGCGUGAAAUCCCCGGGCUCAACCCGGGAACUGCGUCUGAUACUGGAAGGCUUGAAUCCGGGAGAGGGAUGUGGAAUUCCAGGUGUAGCGGUGAAAUGCGUAGAUAUCUGGAGGAACACCGGUGGCGAAGGCGGCAUCCUGGACCGGUAUUGACGCUGAGGCGCGAAAGCCAGGGGAGCAAACGGGAUUAGAUACCCCUGUAGUCC